UACGUAGGGGGCUAGCGUUGUCCGGAAUCAUUGGGCGUAAAGCGCGUGUAGGCGGUCCGGUAAGUCCGCUGUGAAAGUCGGGGGCUCAACCCUCGAAUGCCGGUGGAUACUGUCGGGCUAGAGUACGGAAGAGGCGAGUGGAAUUCCUGGUGUAGCGGUGAAAUGCGCAGAUAUCAGGAGGAACACCAAUUGCGAAGGCAGCUCGCUGGGACGUUACUGACGCUGAGACGCGAAAGCGUGGGGAGCAAGCAGG
rnacentral:rRNA from 1 species